GGCCACAGUUCAGGUAAACCUAAAGGGGUGGCUCUUCCAUAGAUACCAAUGCGAUAGCAGCUGGGUCUGGUGUACUUGUAUAUGAACCAGAAGAAAUUUGCCAGUGAGAUGUCUUGCGAACAUAUACUUGUAUCACAAAGUUUCUGUUUUGAUGGUACAGGAAGUGUAGUUUCAUGAAACACCGGCACAGACUCAAAAACCAAUCAAAUGCAUGGGAAUAGAACAGAGGGCGUAGUGAUUGAAAGGUCGCAAACAAUGAACAACUCCCCCGGAAUUACUAUUCGUCUCACCAAGCCAUGGAAAUGGUUACGGAUAACAUUUAUAAAGGUGCUCUGAGUCCGCAAUACUCUAUACCCCAUGGCCACAACCUUCCAGAUGCGACUCCGCAACAAGGAAGAACAGUCUACACAACACACUCCUCAGAUGCAGCUGCAAAUCGGUAUUGGACUGAAAGAGGGAGGCAUAAGUAGUCGGACACCCCAGACAGAGCAAAGGAACAGGACAAGACAGGUUCAUUUAGAAAUAAUAACUUAUUGUCUCCGGCCAGUCGGUCAAAAGAACUCUCAGACGAAGAGAAGCAGCAACUUGUGGGGGCAACUGAAGACAUGAUGUCUGAUGUGGAGACAGACCCAGAGGACCCUGAUGCAUUUUUUAGAACCUCCCCACUCUGGCAUUCCCCUGACCGUGUCAGCAAACUGGAGAAGAAGGGCUAAGCACUCUCAUGAGGAGAAAAAGCCCCAUCAGAAAGACAACCGGACUAACCAACAUUCACCGCAGCCCUACCCAGAACGUCUGAUUGUGAAAUAGACCACAGACAAUCACCUGCACCUUAUAGACUAUUUUCACUGAAUCCCACUCACCCACCCACCAUUACAUACACACACACACAACAUUACCCUCUUCUUUUUACUACUUAUUGUUUUUUUGAUUAAUGCCUUGAUAUGGUGUCUUUUUUGAUAAAUGCCUUGAUAUGGUGUCUUUUUUUGAUAAA